rnacentral:lncRNA from 1 species
GCAAGUAUUGGAGGUUUACCAGUCUAAAUGAAGAGAACAAGGGCUUCCAGCAAAUCAUGAAACAUGUCAGAGGGAGACUCGGAACAUUUCGCCCAGGUCAAAUCAGACAAUGCCACAACAUUUUCAUGUUUGGAACAUUCAACCUAAAGGUACAACAUUCUAUUCUAACAAUAUAUAGGCACAAAAUAAACGCACCAACACAGAAGUCUAAAUCAAGUUUAUAAAGAAAGAAAAAACCAGGCUUCUGAGCUAUAGAUCCCAUGAUCCAUUUAUUGAACUCAUGUCCUCGGACUUCAAUACAAAAACUUAAGAAACUUAACAUUAUAUAUCAUUCUGCAUCCAGCAGAUAAUUAUUUUAGCAAGCAGCAAACGAGCAACACAUAAAUCGUCCAACUGAUGCUAAUAGCCACCAGAUACUAUGCUUGUGUUCACUGAUAGGGCAUAACAGAACCAAGUAAAACCGUCAUUAGAUUUUACUAUAUUCACCCUUUCUUCUUAAAGACAAUGACCAAAGUUUAACAAUGGCAUAAUUGACAUGUUCCAUCCGCAGAUUAACCAGACAGUAGAUUUAAUGAUGGGUAACGAGCCAGCUGAAACCUUCACAAUCUUCCUCCAUGCAAAGAGUAUAUUGCAAUCUGCACGUGGUCCAACAAUAACCACAGAGGUCGCAAAACAUCAUGUCAAUUACUAUUUCAAAAUAAUAUCUUC